rnacentral:rRNA from 1 species
GUUGACCUCGGAUCAGGUAGGGAUACCCGCUGAACUUAAGCAUAUCAAUAAGCGGAGGAAAAGAAACCAACAGGGAUUGCCCUAGUAACGGCGAGUGAAGCGGCAACAGCUCAAAUUUGAAAUCUGGCACCCGCCCGAGUUGUAAUUUGUAGAGGAUGCUUCUGGGCAGCGGCCGGUCUAAGUUCCUUGGAACAGGACGUCAUAGAGGGUGAGAAUCCCGUAUGCGACCGGCU